CGGACCAAUGAUGAGAUUGGAGGGUGUCUGAAUCAAAAGUAUUGAUUAAAGUCAUCUGGAAGUCUGAGGUCCGU